ACUAGGACACAUGGGGACACAGACACUGUGAGACCUGGGGACACAGACACUUGGGGACACUGGAAAACAUGGGGACACUGAGACACUAGGGGAUACAUGGGGAUGCUGGGAUGCCAGUGUCCCUAGUGUCUCAGUGUCCCCAAGUCUCCCAGUGUCUGUGUCCCAUGUCUCUCAGUG